AGUUUAUUAACAAGAAGGUGAAUAUAUAGCAAUUGAGGAUUAUAUACAACAACAACCAGAGCAGAUGAAGAGUGAUGAAGUUCGUCCAAAGGGGUAAGUAGCACCACACCUUUAAAUCACUGUUGCACUGGAUAUUACCAAUGCCUCUUAUCUUUACAGGUAGUAACCAGACAAUCUGGAGAAAAUGGGCAUCCAGGAAGGAGGAACACUGAUGAAUGGAGCACAGGGAGAUCACCCAGGUAAGUAGACUCAGGUAAGUAAGCAUAGCAGUCCUAGUUGAAGUCAUAACUUCCAGACAAUCGCUGUGUGUGGUGCUGGCUUAUGUAGAGCCAUAGAUGAGGGUGAUGGCAGACAGGUGUGGUAAUUGAGAAGUGAGUGCAGGUGAUAACCAGGCAGGAUUGUGGGAGAUGUAGUGCGCAGAGGUGAGAGGCGUGGUGACUGGUGAUCCUGACACUGACUCCGAUGCACGUGAUGCUCUCACAGACUAAGUUUUACUUUGUUCAUGAGCACAUGAACUGGUUCGAGGCUCAGACAUACUGCAGACAGCAUUACACUGACCUCGCCACCAUUGAUGAUCAGACUGAUCAUGAGGAGCUCCUGAACAUUGUGCUUGCUAAUUUUGGAGUAAAAUGGAUCUGGACUGGACUCUAUCGGACGGAUGCUGCUGCUCCCUGGACCUGGUCCGAUCAGAGCGAAUCCACGUUCAGAUCAUGGGGUAUUGGACAGCCGAACAAUAAUGGUGGCAGUCAGUUUUGCGUGGCAAUGUCUCUUAUUGGAACGUUUAAUGAUGUGGACUGUUACGUUAAAUAUGCUGCUGUCUGCUACAAUAAGAGGAGGAGACAGACGGUGAGACUGAUGGUCAAAUCAAGUCAAAAUGUGAACGAUCCUGGAGUGAAGAAAGACAUUUUAGCAAAAAUUGAGCAGAUGCUGAUGGAGAAAGGACUGACAGAAGAUGUUAAACUGACAUACAUAAACCAAUCCGAUGGGAAUGUCUUCCAAAAGGAUCAGAUAAUUAACGCCACUGAACACACUAGCUUUUAAAAGUGAAGAAAUAAAACUUGACCGGCUGUUCAGUAAUAAAAUAAAACUUUAUUGAUCCUCUGCUGUGAAAUAAUAGUAGCCUAUAGCAAGAAGUCAAAACACAUUUACACAUUUUUAGCUGAUUUACAUGUACACACAUUCAUUUAGCAGGCGCAUUCAUUUAAAGCGACACAUGAGGAACAUCACAAGCAAUUUAUCAUAGAGCAACAAUAUUCAUAGGUUUAGUAAGAACUGAACUAGUAAACAAGCUAUAAUAGCAAUAUAAAAGCUGAGGUGAAGAGCAGUAAUGAAGACAAAUAGAACUGUAAAUAAACAGGAGUUAUAGUAAGUGCUUUGGUUUGUCUGAUCAUCAUUUAUCUGUGUAUCACUAUAUUGCAGAUGUACAGAGCCCUGGAUUAUAAUUUUGCAUGAGUACUGUGGCUAAUGCUAAAAUGAAAAUUGAAAUAUUCAACAUAAAUGCAACUGAACCCUCUGCUGCAAUAUUCAUAACUGACUUAAAUUGUUGCUACUCUAAAAUAAACCAAUGGAAAGCAACACGCCAUUUAGUAGUUUUACUGUAUUGUUUUCUGCAGUAAUAUAGUGGAUGUAGACAUUACAACAUGCAUUAAAUGUAUCAGUGUGCAGGAAUCUCUCUUCGAGUGUUACCUUACUUCAAAUGUAAAUAUCUUCUUUAGAAAUACCAAUGAAGUAUAAUUCAUCUGUGAAGUCAAGGCGAUGUUUUAUCUGGUUGG